rnacentral:rRNA from 1 species
AAUGAACGCUGGCGGCGUGGUUAAGACUGCAAGUCGAACGGUGUUUUGGAUGUAGCAAUACAUGUGAAACGCAGUGGCGAACGGGUGCGUAACACGUGAACAAUCUACCUUCGAGUGGGGAAUAGCUCGCCGAAAGGCGAAUUAAUACCGCAUAUGGUUGGUGCUCUCCUGAGUGCCAUACCAAAGCAGGGGACCGCAAGGCCCGGCGCUGGAAGAGGAGUUCGCGGCCGAGCGGCUAGUUGGUGAGGUAACGGCUCACCAAGGCUAAGACGGGUGGCCGGAUUGAGAGUACGUCCGGCCACACUGGAACUGAGACACGGUCCAGACACCUACGGGGGGCAGCAGUUUCGAAUCAUUCACAAUGGGCGAAAGCCUGAUGGUGCGACGCCGCGUGAGGGAUGAAGGUCUUCGGAUUGUAAACCUCUGUCACUGGGGAAGAAACGCUAAGUUCUAAUGCAAUUUAGCCUGACUUAACCCGGAGAGGAAGCAGUGGCUAACUCUGUGCCAGCCGCCGCGGUAACAC